rnacentral:lncRNA from 1 species
AUGCUCGCAGGGCUUUGCACGAGCCCCACUGAAUGCCCCAACCCUGGGAGCUGGGGCUGUAUGAGAAGCCAGGACAAAGAUCCCUGGAGAUGUCUUGCAAGCACCGACACCGACCGUUCACAACCCCAUUCCCUCCAGAAGUGUGUGGGGAUGGGGCCUGGGGGUGCUGGGCUGGCCCAUGCAGGGCUCUGUGCCCCACCACCCCCAUGUCCCCACCCACGGUUCUCGGACCGAGGAGGAGCUGGGACUUGCUGUAGCCCCAGGAGCCAGAACAGCCCCGAGCCUGGGGGGCUUCAAGCUCUGAGCCUCUGCUGCUCAGCACCCUCUGCACCCCCCGUGCUGUGCUUCCCCCCGGCACGCUCCUCCCGUGCAGAGCUCAGGCCAAGCGCACGGUUUGGCUCUGGCUGCACCCGCGGUGCCCCCGGCUCAUCUCCGCUCACAGGCAGGGGGGAUUUAGCAAAUGAACCUCCGAGGGCCAGGGAAGAGAAAACAGGUGGAAAACCACCCAGCACCUCAUUCCCAGGCUGCUCAGAAAGAGCCCGGAGCACCAGGAGCAGGCACCAGCCGUGCCACCGUCCCUCCCCAAAGCCACCCGGCGCUGGCUUGGCACGGGGCCGCGUGGCCGUGGCGCAGCCCGGGGGACAUCGCGCCGCGCUGCCGCGUUCCCACGCAGCCGGGCAAUCUCCCAGCGGAUCUGCAGCGCCUCCGGCCGCGGGGCUGGGGCUCAGGCUCCGGCUUGCGGAGCUCGGCGGCUCCAGGCGCUCCGUCGGCGCUGCUUGUCGGGGCAGAGCUCCAGCGCGAGGUCUCCCUUCCCCGGCUGCCGCCCCUGCCUGCAAAGCCAGGCAGCCGCGCUCCGGGCACCCGCUUGUGAGCCACCUUGGGAACCCCUGGGGGCAGCGGGAAGGGGACCCAGGAGGCUGGGGGUGGUGGUUGGGGGCUUGGGAGCCCGGCUGCGGGAUGCCGGAGGAUUUAGGGGGACGCCUCCAACCCGUGAAGCUCUGUGCAGGGUUUGUGCUCUCCCAUGCCCUGUGGGGCCCCACAAAACAAAGCAACAAGAGGGGAAGCAGCAGAAGGGCCUGUUUGGGGAUGUGCUCGGUACAAGGAGUCCCCAUUGACUUCCCCAGCGUCACCGUCAGCCCCAGGACAACACGAGGCAGGACGGUGUCCAGCAGCAUGGCCACGUCACUGCACCGUCCAGGCACAGUGACCAGGGGUCCCUGCCGCAGCAGCUCUCCAGCCCCUUCUCAGCGUGGGGGCUCAGGGGGAGCCGUGUCCCCUUCCACGUCCAUCUGUCCCAGAGCUCACCGCUGCGCUGCUUCCUUCGGGCUCAGCCUCUCCCAUCCCAUCCCCUGUCCCGCAGGAGAGGCCUGGGGGUCUCCGCCAGUCCGCCACAGUCCUGGCCACGUUGGCUGA